rnacentral:rRNA from 1 species
CAGAGGUGGCAAGCGUUGUUCGGAAUUACUGGGCGUAAAGGGCGCGUAGGCGGUCUUGUAAGUCUUGUGUGAAAUCCCUCGGCUCAACUGAGGAACUGCACGGGAUACUGCGAGACUUGAGUUCGGGAGAGGGAAGCGGAAUUCCGGGUGUAGCGGUGAAAUGCGUAGAUAUCCGGAGGAACACCGGUGGCGAAGGCGGCUUCCUGGACCGAUCACUGACGCUGAGGCGCGAAAGCUAGGGGAGCAAACGGGAUUAGAUACCCCGGUAGUCCUAGCUGUAAACGAUGAGUGCUGGGUGUAGAGGGUAUUAACCCCUUCUGUGCCGAAGCUAACGCAUUAAGCACUCCGCCUGGGGAGUACGGUCGCAAGGCUG